UGGCCCUUGCAUAAGGCGGCCACACAAAUUUUUGAAGCAUUCUAUAUUUUG
rnacentral:snRNA from 1 species